CUCCCGGUCGCUGUCUUUCCCGAGGGACACCGCUGACAUUCUGUGCCCGCCCCUCGCCCCGUCUCGCAGUUCCCAUCGUCGCUGUCAGGCCCCUGCAGGCUCCUGUCGCUGUCACUCGCCUACCGGUUACCCCAAGGCACCCUUUCUCUUCACUUGCUCAAGCCCCUGCUCAGAGGAAACCUGUUUUCUGACCUCACUUUCCCCCGCUCCGAUUCUGCCUUGCUCGGAUUCUCUGAAAUCUGACCCUCUCCAGGGGCAGUGUGACAAGAAGGAGGAAAGAAGCAACCUUACUCCCGAACAGGCUCCCAUCCCGCCCAUGCCCCACCCGUUGCAGGGGCCAAGGUUUUCUUGACAGUCACAGGCGCAACUCGUCCCAGUGCCCUUGGGCCACUCUUUUUGAUAACAUGGCCCUUUUUCUGUACAACAGCAGUGGGUGCAAAAACUUCUUUCUACAGAUACCUUGUCAUCCAGCUAUAUCAGGAAAAGGGAAAAUUAAAGCCCCAGAACUCAGACUCCAAUAGGCAUGGGAUUAUCUGGAACCAGGAGAAACCAAGUUAAGGCUGCCCCUUCAUAGCCCAGGUGCUGGUUCUGCCUUGAACAUCUUAGGAAAUGUAAGCUAGGGACAGGUACCCACCCCUUCCUUUGCUGAGAUUUUUGCCAGCUCUUCCAUAGGUUUUCUGUCAGUGAUAUCAAGAGACUCAUAAUUGGUCCAGUAUACUCUGCAGAAAGAAGCUUCUCAUCAAGAGACUUUUCUUCUGGAGGAGAGGAGGAAAGGAUUUGAGACAGGUGUCCAGAUAUUUAGCUAGAAGCAGAACCCUAGGAGGAGGAUUUGCUGAAGGAGCACAAGAACAGGAAGGCUUAGAGUGAAGAGGGAAAACUGGUACUUUGAUGAAAGCAAAGAGAAGACAGGGACAGGAAUUCAUACAAGAAAACUAAAAUGGAAGUUUCUCUUUAUUGGGAAUUUUCCUUAUGGGAAGUUUCUGAAAAGGAAACCUCCUAAACUGGGAAUCUGUCCAGGAUUCUGUUCCCAUGCAGCCCCGAGCCAUCUUUGGACCUCUGAGAUGAAAGGGGAAUCUGUUCUUCCUUUGCAUUGAAUUUAAGGUUCCCACCUACCUCUUUUGUUAAAGACAAAUAGGCAAAAAAUGAAAAAAGAAAAAUGACUUGACAUCUGUUGAUACCUAACCUGGCCUUCUGGUUCUUGCAAAUGUUAUUGAAUGGCUAUGCAUGAGCCAGAAUAUCUACCAAGGUUCUGAUCUGUUCUUGGAAGUCUUUCUCUGCCUCUUACUACUUCUAUACUGAAUAAGUAUCACAAAAAUAUGUUACCAAGCAGAAAGGAAGCACAAGAACAGAAAGGCUUAAAGUGAAGUCUUCUAAUAGACUAUUUCCCAAAUAGAGCCUGUCCUGUUCUUAAGAUGAUUAAGGAAUGGAAGAGUACACAACCUGGUCUUGUGCACAAGAUUGUUAAUUAAGAAAAAAAUCUAACCUAAAUAUUCUUUUGUAAUCAAAACCCACUUCUUCUGUUCCAUUCAUAUAGGGAUAGAAAACACCUCUCUUUUUAUGCAUUAGUAGCUCCAUUCAUCAGCCUUCUCCAAAAAAGAGAAAACUAGGUUCUGCCUUUUCCAAUGACUGUUUCCUAUCCUUUUCUGUACUUUAAUUUGUUCCAUUGAAUACAUACUGGCUUCUUCAUACCCUUUUUUAAAAUUGAAUUUAUUUUUCUAAUAAGAUAUGACUGGUGCCUUCCAAACAAACAGGUUUGUCCCUGUGUCUCAAAUCACAGGGCUAUUAAUUCACCCUAAGAUCAUUGUAGAAGCACUGCUUCCUCUUUUUCUAUGCCUCAACAAACUUACUGUUAUUUUUUACCCUUUCUGAUUAAACUUCAGCCUCUUAUUGAUCAACAAUUUCUCUUACCUAGUAGGGUAGUUUUGGAAUCUUAAACCUGCUUUCCAAGUUAUUGGUCUUUCUACCUUAUUUACUACAUGAGAGUAACAUAUCAUGUGUCUUAGUAAGGUGCUGUUUGGUUAAGCCUCAAAAAAGAUGUGUGAACUCACAAUGCACAUACACCACUUGUUUGGGACUUCUAUGUGAAGUAAUGAUGUCAUUCUGAAAUAAUUGAUGAGAAUGUGACUUAUGGCAGAAAAUUUUAUGUGUGAUUGCGUUCAUUUUGUUGAGAACAGAUCUGUGUACAUUCCUUCCUGCAUGUUUCCAAAUUGCCUACUCUCCUAUACUUUCAGUUGUUGAAAUAAAAUGAAUAACUUAUGAAUUUCUGGGAUUGUUCUUUUUAAAUAUAUUCUUCUUUCAGGCUUCAGAGAUAUUUUGGUAUUUCCAUGAGGCCCCCAAAUAACAGUUAGUGACUUUGCUAUUCAGUACCUGCCAGUUUCUUAGUUCCUCCAAGAUGCUCGGCUCAGACUCAGUUGAUUGGAACACAUCAAGUUUUGACGUUCAUCUUCCAUUAAGCUCCUUUUAUCCAGUCUCAUCAUUAAUCCCUGGAGCUGUUCCCCACAACUUCCUUAGGCAUAGCUAAUAUUGAUCUGUUCCAGGUCACAAGUUGGGCUUGGAGCAAAAAUGCUUUCAGAACAGACAGCAGCCCUGGGGACAGGAUGGGAGUCAAUGAAUGUACAGCUGGAUGGAACAGAGCCCCAGAUGGAAAGGGGAAGCCAGGAAGAGGGGCCAUGGAGAACAGCACCAGGGCCACUGGAGAACCUAUGCUGUGAUCUUGAAGAGGAGCCACAGUCAUUUCAGGAGAAGGCUCAAUCUACUCCCUGGGUUCCUGCAAUUCCUCAAGAGGGGAGCACUGGAGAUUGGGAGAUGGCAGCUGCCCUUCUUGCAGCUGGAUCACAGGGCCUGGUAACCAUCAAGGAUGUGUCACUGUGCUUCUCUCAGGAAGAGUGGCGGAGCCUGGACCCCUCUCAAACAGACUUUUAUGGAGAAUAUGUCAUGCAAGAAAACUGUGGAAUAGUGGUCUCUCUGAGAUUUCCAAUUCCUAAACUUGACAUGCUUUCUCAACUAGAAGGAGGAGAAGAACAAUGGGUCCCUGACCCCCAGGACUUAGAGGAGAGGGAUAUCCUGAGGGUCACAUAUACAGGAGAUGGAAGUGAACAUGAGGGGGAUACCCCUGAACUAGAAGCAGAACCUCCCAGAAUGUUAUCUAGUGUGUCUGAAGAUACUGUUCUCUGGAAUCCAGAGCAGGAUGAGAACUGGGAUUCCAUGUCCAGGAGCUCCAGAGGAAUGCUCCUAGGACCACCUUUUCUUCAGGAAGAUAGCUUCUCAAAUCUUCUAUGUGGCACAGAGAUGGAUUCUCUCUUAAGACCCCAUACAUGCCCCCAAUGUGGGAAACAGUUUGUGUGGGGCUCCCACCUUGCCAGGCACCAGCAAACACACACUGGAGAGAGGCCCUAUAGCUGCCUCAAGUGUGAGAAAAGCUUUGGACGAAGACACCACCUAAUCAGGCACCAGAAAACCCACCUACAUGACAAGCCCAGCAGGUGUUCUGAGUGUGGCAAGAAUUUCCGAUGCAAUUCCCAUCUGGCCAGCCACCAGAGAGUGCAUGCAGAUGGCAAGUCCUGCAAGGGUCAAGAGGUUGGAGAGAGUCCUGGGGCUAGGAAACGGCAGCGUGCCCCACCAGUGCCAAAAUGCCAUGUGUGCACUGAAUGUGGGAAGAGCUUUGGCCGAAGGCACCACCUAGUGAGACACUGGCUGACCCAUACCGGGGAGAAGCCCUUCCAGUGCCCUCGGUGUGAGAAGAGCUUUGGCCGCAAACAUCACCUGGACAGGCAUCUGCUGACCCAUCAGGGGCAAAGUCCCCGAAGUAGCUGGGACCGAGGGACAUCUGUCUUUUGAAAUCUGUCUCUGCUGCAGUUAUGGUCAGGUCUAUCAGCCGGUGCUACCAGUAGUCACUGCCAGGGCUGCCUCUAUCCUGCACCCCAAUGGCCAGAAUCAUGAGCCCUGGCCCUGUCCCUAGAGAAAUGAUGCUCCAGCAUUGGCCAGAGUAUUUCUCACCAGUUCUGUGAGAACACAUGAAAACAGGGUUCUUUGGGCAAAAUUUUGGGAAACAAUGCAUACAAUGUGGGCUGAUAUUCAGCCUGAGCCCAUUCUCAAAGGUACAGUGGUACCAGCAGUUAUGGCUGAGGUCCAUUCUCAUUGGUUGGAGAAUGUACGAUACCACUUGUUAAAUAUUUUUGAGUAUCACCCUUGUGUAUUAAUUAUAUUCUUUCUCUAUAUAUACACAUAUAUUUGUGAAUAUAUGUAGAGAGAGACUAUUUUGCAUAUUAAAGGGUCUGAAAGCUUCUGCAGUAAACUGUUAAUGCAGUGUUUCCUAAACUUACUUGACCUCAAUAUCCUCUUUAUUUCAUAUCCCACAGAACUGGUGACUCCAUGAAAUGUACUCUGGUAAACAAUGAAUUUGAAAGUAAUGAGGAAACAGGAAUGAGAUUGUGAUCAGGCACCCAGAGUCCCCUUUUUUAUCCCUGUGAAAGCCAGGGGGCCAGAUGUUAUUCCUGUGUGGGUCUGUCACCCUUACCUUAGUCAUCCAUAUACACAUCUACACCUCUCAAUGCCACCUGCUGAAAAAACAAAGGACUUUUCCACCUCCUAUUCCUAUUUCCUUCAUCUUGCACAUACAUAUUCCAGCUGAGAGAUCACGCUAUAAUGCUAAAAGAUGGAUGUUACCUCCCGAAGUAAUCCAGGCCCACACAGAAGAAAAAACUAUUCCCUCAAACAGAUCCCCUCUCCCAUUGACUGUGUCUUUAUGUGUGUCUCUGUGUACAUGUGUGCAGGAUCCUUGAAGAGAGCAUGCUAAGUGCAAAUUGUACAAGCUAGGUUUUCUAGGGGUUGUGUUCUGGGGAUGAGGGUAGUGGGGAUUGUAUGGGGAUUUUUGUUUUGUUUUGUUUCAAGAUAGAAAGUAAUCUGCGUGAUAAAGGGAGCCCUAGUGGAAAGGGUUCAAUGAUGGAUUAAGUUGUGUACAAAGUUUUCCCCAGUAUCACUGAGAUCAAGACAUUUGUGGGUUUGUAUGUCUAGGUCUGAAUCUCUGAGUUGCAAAUUGUUUUUACCCAGGAGAAGACAGAAAGAAGUCUUCAGAGCAGAGAGCUGUUUCUUGUUGAUUUCAGGCAAGGCACAUUUAGAAGGUUUGUGCUGAGUGGGGUUUUUGUCUUGUCUUUUAUGAGUGCUGGAAAAUUAGGACAGGAAUCACAGUGUUUGCAAGUUGUUGUUAUUAAUCUUGACUUUGAUUUCCUCAUCAAGGGGGAAGAGUUACCUUGAGGAUCUCAUUCUCCCAGAAACAGAACUUUAUGGGAAAAGGCUGUGGCUUAACUUUUCAGCUGAUGCAGGGCCUUCUAACAAGUAGCCCUGGAGGCAGGUGAAUCAAGCAUUCAGCACAAAGGUAAGCACAAGACAGUGAGACUUGUGAUGCUAAGCAUGUAAAGACCCAGGUUUUCCAAACUCACAAUUGGAUUAGGGACCAAUAAGAGCCACACAAAGGAUUUCUAACCAUGAUUUGGUGUACCUCAUAGGCAAGAGCAUCGGGAACAUUAGAUAGUUCCCAGGGCACACAGGGGAACUAGACUUCUGUAAUGAGAUGUGACACAAGUGAGGUUCAAUCCUAGACUCUAUUUACUACGUAGAGAUUGUAAUCAGUUAAGCCACGGUACCUAAAAUGCAUUCUCCUGCUUUGAAAAUUCCAUGCAAUUCAGACUGUGGAAAAGGCUCUAUCUUGUAGGCCCUGGCCCUGCUACCUGCUCCAGUUCCUCUCCCAGACACACCCAUGAAAACAGACUGAAUUGACAAUUGCAAACCUACCUAUGAGGCUCUCUAAGAUAGAAGGUUAGAGAGAGCUUCAGCUUUCUUUAACUGCAGGCUUCAGGCUCUCCCUCUUUUUGUUGUCUGCCAUUUCCCUUCUCCCAACAGGCAGCACUCUUCCACUCUUCCUUCUCACUUCUCAGCUUUCUUUGGUUUGAUUUUUGUUCUGUUUUGCCUGAGCAAUGCUGCACCUUCUCAAGGGUAUUUGUUUGCCCCAACUCCCAUCUUUCCAGCUUCAGGCUUCUCUCUUCUCUAGUUUCAUUUCAUCAUGGGCUCACUGCUCAUCCAUCAACGGUCCUUCUAAUAAGUAGUCCCUGCCAAUUUAUUUUCUAUCAGUGUUAAACCUACUAAGCAGGGAUCACACUCAGACUUUCCACUCCCUUUCCCUAUUCUUAUCUAGAGCAACUGAGCUGCCACCUUACCAGUCUUUCUCUCCCAUACACAUUCCCAUUCCUGCCAUAAACCACACCCAAACUCGCUGUCUAGGACUGACAGAUGGAGGCCCUUAUUCCUUUGACCAGUGACUCUUCAACCCUUGAAGUAGCUUCCAGUCACUUUCUGGUUUUUGCUAGUUUAUUUUACUUCCUACUUGUCUCCUAUAGCUCCUGAGAAUCAAACUGUCUUAAUUCUACAAGCAGCGUUUUGUGUGCUUACUAUGCACCAGGCUCUAGUGGUUCCAGACCUGGAGACCCUGCCCCUGUCCUCAGCGAGUUAUUCAGCCAAGCUUUCCUGCCAAGUCUCACCUGCACUCGCAGCUCCCUCUUCAGGGGAGGUUCAGGGUAUGCCCAACUAGGGCUGUGCCUGCUAGUCUGUUAGCUGUCUCCAAAGGCUGAACUUCCUACAAGUUUAGUAUGUACCCUUGGGGAUCUAUAAUAUGCUCUGUAUGGUUCCUGGCAGUUGAAUAAGGAGGUGAGGCUGGAUCACCGAUUUCCUCUUAGUCCUCUCCAAUUUUCCCUCCAUUCCCCACUCUUCUUUCCGGAGCCAAAAAAAAAAAAAAAAAAAAAAAGACUGGGGGAGGGGGCGAUUGGUGGGAGCAUUGUGGGAGUGAGAGAGGCGAGGUAUCAGGAGAGUCCCGCACUAGCCCCUGUCGCCCUAUGGAAACAGCUUCAAGAUGCAACAGGCUGGCCCGCGCCGCCUCUUCCCUGGCGUCAGGUCCCCAAAAAUAUCGCUCCCCACUCAGUUACUGACGGUGACCCAACCUGAGACACGCCCUGGGAUUGAGCAAGUGGUCGGCUCACAGGGAGUGCUGCCGCGCGGAGACUGAGGUAGCUGUGUUGAAGACUGCAAAUUUACCCCCUUAGGUAAAUUCGAAAUAACUGGGUAUUUUCCAGAGCCAGAUGAGGCGGUCACCGAUGGGGUUAGGACAGAACACGGUCAUCCAGAUGCACUCAGCUGAGGUACAGAGAGGUUAGGUAGGAAAUGGUUAUGGGAGAAAUCUAGGAAAGGCUUGUGGUGAUGGGGCGGGGUGGGGUGUGGUCAUUAACUCACUGACCAAUCCUCUGGGGCGGGCAAACAAAGACCUCCUUUCCGGGCAUGAGCAUAAUCCAAAGGCACAGCUCUUCCUCCAUGGGAGUGGCUGUAAAGAGCUUCAAGCCUGUUGCUUAGUGGGUGCUGAGCCUCAGAUGCCUCUGCAGCUUUCCUUACACCUACCAAGCUGUUUUGCUGCCUGGGGCUUCACAUAUUUUCUUAUUUUCUGGUGUUCACUCUUUCCCCCCAGCCACUUGGAGUAAUACUUCCUGAUCUUUUCCAUCACUAAAAAGGGUAUAUAGGUUUGGGCUGAACAUGACCAGAUGCCCUUGUCAUGUAAGAAGUUCCCCAGAGAAGAAGAGAAGAAAUCUAUAGUUUGAAGACCACUGAUAAAUGGCGAUGUUUGCAUGUUCUAUAAAACAGGUUGAAAAUCUGAGAUAUCUUCCCCAUCUCCAUGAAAUCUCUGCAACAUGUAGAAAUAAAUUCUGAACUUCUGACCUUUAUCUACAUUCAAAAAGAUGGCUUGUGGAGCUAAUGAAUGGAUGGUGAAGCCCCAUUCAACGUCUGGAACUUGAGAUAAUGCUGGAUUUGCAGUUAAGAGUCAAUUUUCUAAGCUUUACACUUUCUAAAACAUUCACUUUUUCACCUAAGACCUAUCUUAGAAAAAUGAGAUGAACUAAAGCAUACAGUAGAACAAAGCAUCUUAUAAAUGAAAAAGAUAUAAUUGACAAUUAUAAGAAAAUUUCUACCUUAAUUUUUAACAAAUUACAAUUUAUAUGUUUCUGAAAACAAACACAGAAAAGAUAGUAAAGAAUCUCAUUUAAAUCUAUUCCCUACAAUUCCUAUCACCUUCCCCUCAUGAUAGAGAGCCACUUAGGUUUACCAGCAUAUUCUCCCAUAGUUUCUUUAUGCGUCUACAAAGAGAUAUUUAGAUUUCCCUUUAUUUUGCUCAAAAGUUAGUAUAUACUCAAGUGUCUUGAACUUUUUCUUUUUCACUAAUUGUAUCUUGAGGAGCUUAUCAUAAUAAAGAAUACUUGCCUUUUUAGAGCUACAUGUUAUUUCACUAUAUGGAAGCUUUGCUAAUUAGGAGAACCUAUCUCCUAAUUAUACUUUUGUUCUUUUUUUAAAUGCAAUGCUGCACUAAAUACCCUGGACAUAAGUCAUUCCACAAGAGUAUAAACACAUAAAAGAUAAAUUCCAUUUGCAUUUGUAGUGCAGUAGACAUUUCCUUCCAUUAGGGGUUGCAACAAUUUGUACUUCCACCAGUAAUGAAUAUGAAUGUUUUUCCAGUCACCAAUGGACUCUAUUCUCAAACAUUCAGGUUUUGUCCAUAUGAUUAAAAACUCUAUCUUAUUAAUUUGCACUUUU